AUUGAACGCUGGCGGCAGGCCUAACACAUGCAAGUCGAGCGAGCGGCGGAGGGGUGAGUAAUGUCUGGGAAACUGCCUGUUGGCGGGGGGUAACUACUGGAAAAGGUAGCUAAUACCGCAUACCAUCAGAUGUGCCCAGAUGGGAUUAGCUAGUAGGUGGGGUAACGGCUCACCAAGGCGACGAGCCGUAGCUGGGUUGCGAGGACGACCAGCCACACUGGGACUGAGACACGGCCCAGACUCCUACGGGAGGCAGCAGUGGGGAAUUUUGGACAAUGGGGGAAACCCUGAUCCAGCCAUCCCGCGUGUGCGAAGAAGGCCUUCGGGUUGUAAAGCACUUUUGGCAGGAAAGCGGUACCUGCAGAAUAAGCACCGGCUAACUACGUGCCAGCAGCCGCGGUAAUAC
rnacentral:rRNA from 1 species